UGUGUCUGUAAAACUGGUGACC
rnacentral:piRNA from 1 species